UAACGGCCUACCGAGGCUACGAUGGGUAGCUGGUCUGAGAGGACGAUCAGCCACACUGGGACUGAGACACGGCCCAGACUCCUACGGGAGGCAGCAGUUGGGAAUCUUGCGCAAUGGGCGGAAGCCUGACGCAGCGACGCCGCGUGCGGGAGGAAGGCCUUAGGGUCGUAAACCGCUUUCAGCAGGGACGAAGCUUCCGGGGUUAACAGCCUAUGGGGUGACGGUACCUGAAGAAGAAGCCCCGGCUAACUACGUGCCAGCAGCCGCGGUGAUACGUAGGGGGCAAGCGUUGUCCGGAUUUAUUGGGCGUAAAGAGCGUGUAGGCGGCUGGGAAGGUCCCGCGUAAAAAAACCUCGGCUCAACCGUGGUAUGCGUGGGAAACCACCUCGCUAGAGUCCGGAAGGGGAGAGUGGAAUUCCCGGUGUAGCGGUGAAAUG
rnacentral:rRNA from 1 species